AUGAACGCUGGCGGCGUGCCUAAUACAUGCAAGUCGAGCGAACAGACGAGGAGCUUGCUCCUUCGACGUUAGCGGCGGACGGGUGAGUAACACGUAGGUAACCUACCUAUAAGACUGGGAUAACUUCGGGAAACCGGAGCUAAUACCGGAUAAUAUUUCGAACCGCAUGGUUCGAUAGUGAAAGAUGGCUUUGCUAUCACUUAUAGAUGGACCUGCGCCGUAUUAGCUAGUUGGUAAGGUAACGGCUUACCAAGGCAACGAUACGUAGCCGACCUGAGAGGGUGAUCGGCCACACUGGAACUGAGACACGGUCCAGACUCCUACGGGAGGCAGCAGUAGGGAAUCUUCCGCAAUGGGCGAAAGCCUGACGGAGCAACGCCGCGUGAGUGAUGAAGGUCUUCGGAUCGUAAAACUCUGUUAUUAGGGAAGAACAAACGUGUAAGUAACUGCGCACGUCUUGACGGUACCUAAUCAGAAAGCCACGGCUAACUACGUG
rnacentral:rRNA from 1 species